UACGGGGGGGAGCAAGCGUUUGUUCGGAUUUACUGGGCGUAAAGGGUGUGUAGGUGGCGCGCUAAGUCGGGUGUGAAAUUUCGGAGCUUAACUCCGAAACUGCAUUCGAUACUGGCGUGCUUGAGGACUGGAGAGGAGACUGGAAUUCCUGGUGUAGCGGUGAAAUGCGCAGAUAUCAGGAGGAACACCGGUGGCGAAGGCGGUUCUCUGGGCCGAUACUGACGCUGAGGAGCGAAAGCGUGGGGAGCGAACAGGA
rnacentral:rRNA from 1 species